rnacentral:rRNA from 1 species
GACGAACGCUGGCGGCGUGCUUAACACAUGCAAGUCGAACGGUGAACGAGGGAGCUUGCUCCCUCCGGGUCAGUGGCGAACGGGUGAGUAACACGUGUGCAAUCUGCCCCGAACUCUGGGAUAAGCGUUGGAAACGACGUCUAAUACCGGAUACGACGCGGGAGGGCAUCCUCUCCGCGUGGAAAGAACUUCGGUUCGGGAUGAGCUCGCGGCCUAUCAGCUUGUUGGUGAGGUAACGGCUCACCAAGGCGACGACGGGUAGCCGGCCUGAGAGGGUGACCGGCCACACUGGGACUGAGACACGGCCCAGACUCCUACGGGAGGCAGCAGUGGGGAAUAUUGCACAAUGGGCGCAAGCCUGAUGCAGCAACGCCGCGUGAGGGACGACGGCCUUCGGGUUGUAAACCUCUUUUAGCAGGGAAGAAGCGAAAGUGACGGUACCUGCAGAAAAAGCACCGGCUAACUACGUG